rnacentral:rRNA from 1 species
GACAGAGGUGCCGAGCGUUAGGCGGAAUCACUGGGCUUAAAGCGUGUGUAGGCGGACUCGUAAGUGCUUUGUGAAAUCCCACGGCUCACCCGUGGAACUGCUUGGCAUACUGCGAGCCUUGAGCCACUUAGGGGGCAAACCGGAACAAACGGUGGAGCGGUGAAAUGCGUAGAUAUCGUUUGGAACGCCAAUGGUGAAAACAGGUUGCUGGGGAGUGUGCUGACGUGAGACACGAAAGCCCAGGGGAGGCGAAACGGGG